AGUGGAAUUGCUGGGUCAAAUGGUAUCUCAUCUCUAUGUUUAACUUUUUGAGAAAUUGCCAAACUGUUUUCCAAAGCUGCUGUGCCAUUUUACAUUUCCACUAGCAAU
rnacentral:pre_miRNA from 1 species